GCCAGUCAUGGUGGCCCAUGCCUGUAAUCCCAGCUACUCAGGAGGCUGAGGCAGGAGGGUCACAAGUUCAAGGCCAGCCUGGGCAACUUGGCAAGAUCCUGUCUCAA
rnacentral:sRNA from 1 species